rnacentral:rRNA from 1 species
GAUGAACGCUGGCGGCGUGCCUAAUACAUGCAAGUCGAGCGAACAGACGAGGAGCUUGCUCCUCUGUCGUUUGCGGCGGACGGGAGAGUAACAUGUGGAAAACCUCCCUAUAAGACUGAGAUAAUUUCGGGAAACCGGAGCAAAUACCGGAUAAUAUAUUGCACCGCGUGGUUCAUUAGUGAAAGUCGGUUUUGCUGUAACUACUAGAUGGAUCUGCGCCGCAUUAGCUAGUAGGUACGGUAACGGCUUACCAAGGCAACGAUGCGUAGCCGACCUGACAGGGUGAUCGGCGGCACUGGAACUGGGACACGGUCCAUACUCCUACGGGAGGCAGCAGUAGGGAAUCGUCCGCAAUGGGCGAAAGCCUGACGGAGCAGCGCCGCGUGAGUGAUGAAGGUCUUCGGAUCGUAAAACUCUGUUAUUAGGUAAGAACAAAUGUGGAAGGAACUAUGCACGUCGUGACGGUACCUGAUCAGAAAGCCACGGCUAACUACGUG